rnacentral:rRNA from 1 species
CCCUUAGAUGUUCUGGGCCGCACGCGUGCUACACUGAUGCAUUCAACGAGUCUAAAACCUGGUCUGAUAGGGCUGGGUAAUCUUUUGAAAGUGCAUCGUGAUUGGGAUAGAUGAUUGCAAUUCUUCAUCUUCAACGAGGAAUGCCUAGUAAACGCAAGUCAUCAGCUUGCAUUGAUUACGUCCCUGCCCUUUGUACACACCGCCCGUCGCUCCUACCGAUUGAGUGAUCCGGUGAGGCUCUGGGACCUGGACGGAAAGAGCGUUUCGCUUGUUCUGUUUGGGAAACUUGGUCGAACCUUAUCAUUUAGAGGAAGGAGAAGUCGUAACA